rnacentral:tRNA from 1 species
UGUAUUUUAGUAUAAGCCGUAUAAAAGUUUUUGAUACUUUAGGAAAUAGUUAAAUUCUAUUAAAUGCAA